rnacentral:rRNA from 1 species
UACGUAUGGGGCAAGCGUUAUCCGGAUUUACUGGGUGUAAAGGGAGCGUAGGCGGCGGGGCAAGCCUGAUGUGAAAGCCCGGGGCUCAACCCCGGGACUGCAUUGGGAACUGCCCUGCUGGAGUGCCGGAGGGGCAGGCGGAAUUCCUAGUGUAGCGGUGAAAUGCGUAGAUAUUAGGAGGAACACCAGUGGCGAAGGCGGCCUGCUGGACUGCAACUGACGUUGAGGCCCGAAAGCGUGGGGAGCAAACAGG